CCCAGACUCCUACGGGAGGCAGCAGUGGGGAAUAUUGCACAAUGGGGGAAACCCUGAUGCAGCGACGCCGCGUGAAGGAAGAAGUAUUUCGGUAUGUAAACUUCUAUCAGCAGGGAAGAAAAUGACGGUACCUGACUAAGAAGCCCCGGUUAACUACGUGCCAGCAGCCGCGGUAAUACGUAGGGGGCAAGCGUUAUCCGGAUUUACUGGGUGUAAAGGGAGCGUAGGCGGUGCAGCAAGUCAGAAGUGAAAGCUCGGGGCUCAACUCCGGGACUGCUUUUGAAACUGUUGAACUAGAUUGCAGGAGAGGUAAGUGGAAUUCCUAGUGUAGCGGUGAAAUGCGUAGAUAUUAGGAGGAACACCGGUGGCGAAGGCGGCCUGCUGGACUGCAACUGACGUUGAGGCCCGAAAGCGUGGGGAGCAAACAGGAUUAGAUACCCGUGUA
rnacentral:rRNA from 1 species